GACAGAGGUGCCGAGCGUUAGGCGGAAUCACUGGGCUUAAAGCGUGUGUAGGCGGACCGUUAAGUACCUUGUGAAAUCCCACGGCUCAACCGUGGAACGGCUGGGUAUACUGGCGGUCUUGGGCCACUCAGGGGCGAGCGGAACAAGUGGUGGAGCGGUGAGAUGCGUAGAUAUCACUUGGAACGCCGACGGUGAAAACAGCUCGCUGGGAGUGUGCCGACGCUGAGACACGAAAGCCAGGGGAGCGAACGGG
rnacentral:rRNA from 1 species